UCUUUCGAAUGAUAAUAAACACUCCCCAUUAAAUAUGACUUUCCUGACCCUUUAUAUAAUUGAAUAUCGACCAUAAAAAUUUUGUAUCUUUUAAUCGGUACUACAGUGCGAAAAUACGAAAAAAAAUAAUUUUAUGUAUUCAGUACCACCCUAAUAGUAAUGUCUAUAUAUCUCAUCAACACCUCGCUAUUAAGUUUUGCGGCUUUUCAUGUAUUUAUGUGUAUCAUGAUUUUUAUAUGAGGUUGUUUCGCACUCUUCCGAAGGCAAACUGGCAUACCGUACAUUUUUCGAUUUUCCACAAAUUCACAAAUCACAUUAAAGUGUCUAAUAAGUUUAUUUCAGACUAGAUCAUAUUGAAAAGUUGAAGUGAAUUUGCAAACGUUUAUACACGGGUAUUAUGCAUUUCAACAUUUAAAGUAGACGAUGAGGGAUUAUUUCAUAUUAAUUAGUACAGUAUUGUAAGAAAAAGUGCAAAACAUACGUAAAGUGUAGAUUUGCCACUAUGAAAUUGGAACGUAGAUGGCUCGUGAGUCAUUGCCGGCACCUUCUCACUGAAACAACAACCUCAUAAUUUUAAAUAAUAAAUACAUUCUCAUCAAUACAAAACCGAUAACAUUUUCAGACUGUGUGCGCUUGCUUGUUUCAAUUUGCGAAUAUUAAUUGAGAUAAAUACCAAACGAGAAACCAGUUACUUAUCAUAGACAGCGACAGCAGGCUCUCAGUGCAGCACUUCGCCGACAUUAAAAACGCGUGCAGCGGUGCUUAACAAUCGAGAACCAGUAAGAAAAAUAUUAAAAUGAUAAAAUGUAAUGAGUAAAAAAAAAAAAAUGAACCUGAAAACCGGUGUAAAAAUCGUAUCUGCGUAAUACUCGUAUCAUCAGACAAAAUGGAUUCGAUUUCACCUGUGCCACAAUGUUUACACACUUAAGCGCAUACUUACGUACUUACUGACAAGUGUUUACUUUUCAAGAAUUAUUUGGAAGUAAUCACACAGAAAGAAGAAGAAACAGGUGGUUUAUUAAAUAUAAAAUUGUCGAAAUUUUGUAAUAAAAAUUGUAAUAAAAAUAAACAGUAAGGAAGGGUUGAGUUCGGGUGUAGCCGAUUAUUUAAUACUCUCGCCACCGAUAUUUUCGGUAUAAAGUUCACCGGAAUCCGUAUAUGAGGUAUAUGGGGCUACAGGAAGUUUUCACACUUGUUGUUGUGUAUAACAGGACCGUUAUACUUCAGAGAUCGACGGUAAUAUCAUAAAAUAAACAAAAUUUAAGCAAAACUCUCUUUGCCAAUGGACACUACUAUUUAAUUGCUCGCAACUGUAUGUAAUAAAAAUAUUUAAAAAACUAAUAAUCUUAUCAUUAUCGAAUCAUGACAAUUGAAAUAAUGAAUAAUAUUUUAAUUACUAAAAAAAAUUGUAUUAAACAAUGUACAAAAUAAUUAAUAAAUAAUAUUUUAACUACAAAAAUAAGAAAAUUAUGAACACAGUUUUAUCACAGCCAAUUUCGUUGUAAUAGCAGUCAUAAAUUCUACAAAGCGAUGACUACUCAAUUUAUAUAAGAAACGUCAUUUUAUAUUACAUAAUGCAAAAGGUUCAAUAAACUCUUCGCCCAAAGCAAUAUUCACUUUCAUUUAUGACACUUCAUUUUAAGUCUCUUGUCAACUGAAAAUCGCCUACGCAUCUUCGCUGUAAAAAAAUAUUUAAUGGAGAGAAAUUAUGUAAACAAUGGUUCAAUGAGACAUCUUCGGUUGUCAGCGCACUGCAGGCAGCAGGUAACAUGCAAAAUGAAGUAGGAACACUGAUACAGCAUGGUACUAUAAUAUAUAAUAUUUAAUUUAAUUCCAUAAGUAAAUGUCGUUGAACUCAAGAAGAGAUAUGAAGCACCGCCCAUCUCUCCACGACAUAAUUAAGUGUAGGUUAAUGAUAUUAAUGUGUUCCUCAUGUCGCUGAUUACGCGACUCCGAAAACCCCCUAGUAACAAAUUUCAAGCGAUUCCGAUGAAGUUGUGGAAACGCUGUCCGCCACUUUGGUUUUCUGGGGCUAUGUCAAAACCCUGAUCUAAUGAGGUUAAAUGGACCUCGGAAUCGGAUUCAGCGAGCCCAAAACCAUAAGGCACACAUAGGUCGUGACAAACAUUUUUUUGGCUGUGUAAUAUAAGGGAUUUAUAUAUUUAAUUUUAGACCAUCGGUAAGCCCUCAAAAAUUUAGUUUAUAUGGAUCUAUGUGUGAGAAACUAAAGUUAGCUUAGAUCCGAUGCGAUCCGAGGAUGCGAAAAAAAUUUGGAACUUUAGCAAAUCUACCGAGUUGUUGACUGGUGCUUAGUUUGGACUCACUUGAGAGAAAGAUGACUGUAAUAAUAGCUAUGGAGCGGCAGCUGGCAGACAAGAUUUAUUGUUUCCUCCCCCUUUAACCAAUCAUCAAGCUCAGCUUUCGUGAAUUCCAUUGCAAUUGGGAACCCAGAACUCAUAGUAUGGAGCUUUUGCCUUUUGUUGUAUAAGAAACAGAGGAAGAGGAGGAGG